UAAGCGAGCAUGCCAGUUAUUUCAAAGCAGAGUCUGGAGGACUAGGGAUGUAGUGAAGGAGAGCCGUGGUGACUUGGGUGGGGUACAGUAGUGAUGACCUCAUGGAGCCAAAAUGACCCAGUCAACUCUCGUCAGUUCCAGAAUUUACAGGAAGGAGUUCUCCCUCAGUGCCCCGAUGCAGCCAGCAAAGCCCAAGAUGAACAUGACCCCGCCCACCACCAGGAAGAGCCACACAGGGUCGAAACCCCCCAGGAGUGAGAGCAUGCAGACGGAUGGGUGUGGACCACCAUCGUUUAGAGAGAGGG